GACGUAGGAGGCGAGCGUUGUCCGGAUUCAUUGGGCGUAAAGAGCACGCAGGCGGUUUGGCAAGUCGGAUGUGAAAACCCGAAGCUCAACUUCGGGCCUGCAUCCGAAACUGCCCGACUAGAGGUAGGUAGGGGGAGAUCGGAAUUCCUGGUGUAGCGGUGAAAUGCGCAGAUAUCAGGAGGAAUACCGAUGGCGAAGGCAGGUCUCUGGGCUAUAACUGACGCUCAUGCACGAAAGCGUGGGGAGCAAACAGG
rnacentral:rRNA from 1 species